rnacentral:rRNA from 1 species
GACGAACGCUGGCGGCGUGCUUAACACAUGCAAGUCGAACGGAAAGGCCCUGCUUUUGUGGGGUGCUCGAGUGGCGAACGGGUGAGUAACACGUGAGUAACAUGCCCUUGACUUUGGGAUAACUUCAGGAAACUGGGGCUAAUACCGGAUAGGAGCUCCUGCUGCACGGGGGGGGUUGGAAAGAUUCGGCGGUUGGGGAUGGACUCGCGGCUUAUCAGCUUGUUGGUGGGGUAGUGGCUUACCACGGCUUUGACGGGUAGCCGGCCUGAGAGGGUGACCGGCCACAUUGGGACUGCGGUACGGCCCAGUCUCCUACGGGAGGCAGCAGUGGGGAAUAUUGCACAAUGGGCGGAAGCCUGAUGCAGCAACGCCGCGUGCGGGAUGACGGCCUUCGGGUUGUAAACCGCUUUCGCCUGUGACGAAGCGUGAGUGACGGUAAUGGGUAAAGAAGCACCGGCUAACUACGUG